UACAGAGGGGGCAAGCGUUGUUCGGAAUUACUGGGCGUAAAGCGCACGUAGGCGGCUUUUUAAGUCAGGGGUGAAAUCCCGGGGCCCAACCCCGGCGUGGCAUCCAAAACUGGGAGUCUUGAAUGGAACAGAGGCUAGUGGAAUUGGAGGUGUAGCGGUGGAAUGCGUAGAGAUCUCCAAGAACACCCGUUGCGAAGGCGGCUAGCUGGGUUCACAUUGACGCUGAGGCUCGAAAGCGUGGGGAGCAAACAGG
rnacentral:rRNA from 1 species